rnacentral:rRNA from 1 species
GAGUUUGAUCCUGGCUCAGGAUGAACGCUAGCGGCAGGCUUAAUACAUGCAAGUCGAGGGGCAGCGCGGGUAGCAAUACUUGGCGGCGACCGGCAAACGGGUGCGGAACACGUACGCAACCUUCCCAAAACUGGGGAAUAGCCCUCCGAAAGGAGGAUUAAUACCCCGUAACACAAUUAAGAGGCAUCUCUUGAUUGUUAUAGCUCAGGCGGUUUUGGAUGGGCGUGCGGCUGAUUAGGUAGUUGGCGGGGUAACGGCCCACCAAGCCAUCGAUCAGUAACUGGUGUGAGAGCACGACCAGUCACACGGGCACUGAGACACGGGCCCGACUCCUACGGGAGGCAGCAGUAAGGAAUAUUGGUCAAUGGACGCAAGUCUGAACCAGCCAUGCCGCGUGAAGGAUGAAGGCCCUCUGGGUUGUAAACUUCUUUUAUCUGGGACGAAAAAAGGGGAUUCUUCCUCACUUGACGGUACCAGAGGAAUAAGCACCGGCUAACUCCGUGCCAGCAGCCGCGGUAAUACGGAGGGUGCAAGCGUUAUCCGGAUUCACUGGGUUUAAAGGGUGCGUAGGUGGGCAGGUAAGUCAGUGGUGAAAUCUUCGAGCUUAACUCGGAAACUGCCAUUGAUACUAUCUGUCUUGAAUAUCCUGGGGGUGAGCGGAAUAUGUCAUGUAGCGGUGAAAUGCUUAGAUAUGACAUAGAACACCAAUUGCGAAAGGCAGCUCACUACGGGAUGAUUGACGCUGAGGCACGAAAGCGUGGGGAUCAAACAGGAUUAGAUACCCUGGUAGUCCACGCCCUAACGAUGGAUACUCGACAUAUGCGAUACACUGUAUGUGUCUGAGCGAAAGCAUUAAGUAUCCCACCUGG